rnacentral:lncRNA from 1 species
AUAUGAAGAUUCUUAAAUGAUAACGGAAAGAUAAUGUAUACAACACACAAACAGUUCUAUAAUUCACCCUUGAAUACAUUAAACAAUUAAACAAAGUCCCGGAUGAACACAUCUUGGUGGAUUGUGGAACCACGCAAUGUAAAAGGUUAGUUUUUGAUAAAAAAACUUUUUUCUCAUGUAAAUAUUUAUUAGUUCCAAUCUGAUAAGUCGGGUUAUUUCCAUGCAUAAAUUAGGCAGUUGAUUUUCUCGUUUGAAUUGUUUUACAUUUGUUAUUUUGGGGAUUUUUUGUAUAGCUAACUAUGCCGUAUGGGCUUUUCUCAUUGUUGAAGGCCAUACGGUGACCUAUAGUUGUUAAUUUGUGUCACUUGGUCUCUUGGGGAGUUGUUUCAUUGGCAAUUAUACCACAAUUUCUUUUUUAUAUAUAUUUCAAAUCUGAUGGGUCGGGUCCUUUUUAACUAAUUUUUACAGUUUGUUCUUAUGUUAUACUGUCACCACUGCCUAAGCUUAAGGAGACAAUUGAGUGCUCACAAACAUUUGUAACCCCAAAAAAUUCCAUCUAUACCUAUCACAAGUUUAGCGUCUGUAAUUCAAUAGUUGCCGUUGAUUUCUUUUUCGAUUGAAUGCUUAACAUUUUGUUCAUAUUGGAAUCUUUUAAACCACAAUCCCACAAGAUGGAUUAUUUAAAAAAACACUCUGGCAGAUUCACAUGUGAAACAAGAGGCCAAUACACACAAAAUACAAUCACAUACAAUCAUAGAAAUAAAUAAAACAACUUUGAAAUGGAAUAUAUUGAUACUAAUAAAUUAACUGUAAACAAAACUUUGAAUUUUUGAAAAACAAAGGCUUUUCUACCUCAGGAAUAGAUUACCUUAGCUGUAUUUGGCAAAACUUUAAGGAAUUUUUGGUCCUGAAUGCUCUUCAACUUCGUACUUUAUUUGGUCUUUUAAAAUUGUUUGAUUCGAGCGUCACUGAUGAGUCUUUUGUAGACGAAAUGCGCGUCUGAUGUUUAUAAAUUUUUUUAAUCCUGGUAUCUAUGAUUAGUUUAUUUACUAGUAUAUAGACUGCACGGUAUAUGUAAAGCUCAUUCUUGAAUGCUGUAUGGUCACCUGUAGCUGCCUACUAAAUCAAAAUCCUUUACUCUGCCCAUUCUUGAAUACUGUAUGGUCACCUGCAGAUGCCUACUAAAUCAACAUUUUUUACUCUGGUGCAUACAUGUAGUUGUAUCAUUAUUGCGAAUCAUACUUCAGAUAUCUCUUUUACUGAUUUUAUAAACAUUGCUACAUGCAUCAGGUUGAAUAUUUUGCAAGAGAUGUAGGGACAAACGAUUUAUAAUAGGGCUAAGGCUCACAAAAGAAAGUCUUUAAAACUUAUGACACGUAUACCGGGUUCUUAAAUUCAUAAAUAUGUUUUGACUUGUAUUCUGUGUGGUAUACACUUUAAUAAUGUGAAAUAAAAAUCUCCACCAAUUAUAAUUUCAAAAAUUGGUCACAACUGACGUCAUGAAUAAUAAUCAACACAACACCCUAGUCCGAGAUUACUCUGAAGUCCAACGGCUGUUUUGCCAGACAAGCUGGGGCCGUGGGACGUCAGAGGUCGUCCCAUAUCAAAAAGUGGAUUUUGCCCGUCUUAAACAGAUGCGCUGCUUCGUCGCUCCAGGUGCCAACGGACGGCCUUGGAAUUAUAUAAAUCGGGUAUAUAGAUCGGUAUAAAAGUAUUUAGUGCCAACCACGAUAACAUUCGGAAGCUCUCGGACAUUUACAUUGGUUGCAUCGUAAAUGAGCGAGGUGUUAGAUUAUGUAUUCAUAUUGACCUAGGAUCAUAUGCAUACAUCAUUUCCCAUAAUCCAUUGUGCCUUACUUUUUUCUUGUGAUCACAUGAUAAUCUAUCAAAAUGAAACGUCCAACGGCCCCAGCUUGUCUGGCAAAACAGCCGUUGGACGUCUGACUCAGACUAAUCUCGGACUAUAAACACUCAAGACAAAACCAAAGAAAAGAAAGCCGUUUCUUUACGUUCUAUUAUGAUUUGUUUGUCUGAUCUUUUUAAACCUAUGGUAAAUGUAUAUGUUUAUUGUCAUGACACGAAUAUCUAAUGGAGCUGAUAAUAUAAUUAAGAAAUAAUUGAUGCAAGCUAUACUUUAUAAUAGUUUUAACAUGGGUAGGCAUUAUAUUCGUGAUUAUUUUUGCCCGAGCGAUAGUGAGGGCUAAAAUAACACGAAUAUAAUGCCUACCCAUAUUAAAACUACAAUAAAGAAUAACUUGCAUCAAUUUCGAUUCUGAGUAGGAUAAUUAAGGUAAUGUCUAUGUCCGAUGUGUAUAAGUGCAGAGGACUUGUGAAGGCUCUUCCAUGAAACUCCCUUGUAAACAAGCAAAUGGCUGCCAUUGUGAUUUUUCAGAGGGAGGAGUUUGAACAGCCAGCAUUAACGGAUGUCGUAUCUAGGUCAGAUAUGUCAAUUUCCAAUUGCGACACAUUACAGUCAUAAUACAUUAAUUAGUAACAACAUGACUUUUUGUGCAUCAUUUAAGAAUUUGGAAGUGUUUUAAGUUAAUGAAAUAUAUCAAGUGCAUGCCAAUUUGAUAACAUUUAUUAUUCUGCAGUAGUCAAUAUACGCAUGUGCAAACACAUUUUAUUGGAUUUCGAGCAUGGGUUUAUUCACAAAGCGAAAGAAGCACGUCAUAUUAGAAUAUACUAUAUACCGAUAAAACUUUAUCUACCAGCUGGGAAGAUGGUAAAUUGACAUCAACAUUUCUAUAGAUUAUUUUUGUCACUGGUUUUCUUGUCUCAUUGGUGAUAACGUCAUAUUUAAUUUUCUAUUCAAAUGAGGUUUUAAGAAUCCCUGGUAUAAUACUUAGAAAAAGCUUAUAUUAAUUACUGGGUUAAAUGGUCUUUUCCCAUCUGACAGUAGGACUAUCACAGAGAGUGCUUACACGUGCUUGUAUGUUAUGUAUACAGAGGAAACCAUAAACAUAAUCAUAAUUCUCAUGUAAUUUUGGAAAUUGCGACGCGAAACCAAAUUCCUUUUUUCGAAGAGUUGCUCGCUUACAGCCCGUCAAUUUUUUUUUAACAAUUUUUAAGUUUUGAAGAAGACUGUUUGCUAGGUUCACGGCUAUCAGGCGCGUAGCUACGUUUACGUCAAAACGCCCGGGCGUACACUUGAAUUUUGGUAAAAAAAAAUAUUUUAAUCUAAAUAAAUUAAAACGAACUGGUUAAAAACACAUCAGCCUUCUUUAUCUUUCUUCAGACAGUAGCUUUUAAUUGCGAAUAAAAGUGACAACAUUUAUUUUUCAAUCAAAUGGUACCGGGCGUGUUAUAUUUUUGUUCAUUUUUUGUCAAAGUCUGAUUCUACUGUGAAUUCUACUUACUUUCCUUUGAUUUAACUGAAGCAUUUCAUUAUCUGCUGAUAUUCGAUAUGUGUUUGCAUUUUUAUCGAGCCUGCAACAUUAUUUCGCGAAAGGGAGACAUAGAGAUCAUAGGUUUCGUUGGCGUCGUCACCAUAUAAAUUAAGUAUGUGAUUCAAGAUGUUUUAAAUAUCGUUGACUUUGUCAAACCUUCAUGAAAUUUUCAAAAAGUUGGACAGAAGCUUUUUGUGAUCAAAAGAAUUAGAGUACCAGAUCAUAAUGAUGAAAUAAUAUUUCAAAUGUUCCCGUAUUUAACUGAUAAAAAGGAAUUAAAUUUCUUUUUGAAGUUAACAAGUAGAUACAGUCUGGGGUAAAAGUUUGUUGCACAUCAAUAACUUUGUCAAACCUUCAUCGAAUUUUAUGAAUCUAUGGCAGAAGUUUUUUUUAUGAUUAAGAAAAAUUUUGAAUGUAUCAUUUUUUUCAUUUUUCAGUUGACAACGGACUUUUAGCAAUUAACAGUCGUUUUGGGAUUAUUAGUUUUACAUGAUCAAUUUGAAAACCUUCAGAGAUUUUCAUAAAACUUGGGUAGAAGUUAAAAUAUUCCAGAUCAAGAAUUUUAUAUUCCAGAUCAAGAAUUUUUUAAAACCUGUAAUGAACCGAAAAAUAAAUUCUCUUUUCGCGGGAAGUAAUCCCAGGCAAAAUCAAGGUUUUUAACGGAACCCUUGACGAAUUUUCAUAAUAAACCUGAACAUCUAUGAAAAUUAUUUACUUCAUGUCAUUAACGAAAUUUACACAAACAAGGGGUUUUAGUUUAAACAUAUUUUGUUAUAGUGGAUUGGGAAACAAGUUAUUGUAACUUAUAAUAAUUUCUUUCCACUUUGCGGGUGCGAAUGCUGCCUUGUAGCGGCAUUAUCCUGCUCUUUUUCGAAAUCUACAAGGGUGUAUUUUACGUGCAAGAGAUAUGGCUCUCUCUUAACACGGGUCAGCCAUUUAUCGUCCCCUUCCGACGGACUAUCAUCGUUUCCUUAAGACCAUACUCGCAAAUGGUGUCAAGGGAGUGCCGAAAAUUCAGUCUCUGAAAUUUUCAUCCCGGAACGGGAAUCGAACCAGGAACCUUUGUGUUAGCAGUCUGGGGUUUUUAUCGAGUGCGGCUCCUUUUAUACACAUAUUAAAGUCACUAGUUUGGACAUUUUCUCUUAAACCAAUGACCAUAAGAUUCCAACUCAACACAAUAUAAAUACUAGUAAAUUAAACAUAAGAGAUAAACAAAUAAGACUCUAAAGUAUGUGGCUAUUGAUGAGUUUUUAGUGACAUAAAUGGUAUCUUUCUCCAUAACUCGUUUUCUAGAGGGAGAUUCGCCCCCUCGUUCCCAGAACCAAAGUGGAGGCUUUAGUCUGGACCCGAUUGGGACCCUCAAAACACUCGCUAAGGUUUGGGCGUACACUUGAAAAUAGCCUAGCUACGCCACUGGCUAUAACAAGUAUCCGUCAUUGUGCCCACUGUGUUGCAGCACCUACCAAAAUAAUUCAUUGAUUCUUUUCGAGAAUAUGUAUAUAUAUUUCUUACUUGACUUAAAGCAAACAAAUAUAAAUCAAUGUUGUCUGCUUUUAGAACUAAGAUAGUGCACUAUGGAACACAAAGACGAGACUCGACAGAUGAGAGAAACCAGUAAUGAAGGUAUAC